ensembl:lncRNA novel transcript
AAGAUGGCCGUCUGGUGGGACACUUGGUAUCAUGUGCCCUUCCCGCUCCAUGGCUUGGAAUGGAAUUUGUGCUGGCCGUUAACGUUCUUGAAUGCAUUUCCCUCUGAGCUUGGAUAGAGGGUAAUCAACAUGCUGACACCAAGCUACAAUUUUUCUCCUGAAGCACAAAAGGAAAUGAAGGCUUGACUAGCACUGCAAGGCUGUGAGUUAGGAAACGGGAAACAAGAUGCUCCUGCUGCUGUUGGAGUCUUGAGUUGUUCCUGAAAUGAGACUGUGGCAUCCCCUGAGAACAAGGCAUGAUGCAGAAUUGCACAAUCUAGGUGCCUGUAUUUCAGCUGGCAAAGCUCCCACCUCUGCCUCAGACUCCUUGUCCUGCCACGCAGGCUCCAGACAGUGACACUAAAACAUUGCUCUGUAUGGUAAUUUGUCUGAAAAAUAGCUUUAGAACUGUACCAGCUUUAUGGCUCAACAAUUGGAGCAUUUAGGUGAAAUUUGGAACCCAGCCAUUAAGAGAACUGCUAGAGAAAAACAUGACAGUAAAAUCAAAUUUCAAAUCAGCAUCACUUACCAUAUGGGAAACUGCAAAUUCAGCAAAAGGGAAGGCAAUGCUGAAAUUCACCUUCAAAGCUAAAUAUUGUUCCUUAGACCAAUUUCAACCUCGAAUUCAUUUGAAUUUCCUUUAUGUCUGGUUACAUCUGAAGUGAAGUAAUUAGCAAUAGGCUUGUUAGAUUUUUCUUUCCUUAUGGAAUUUUUUUUUUUUUCAGAGAGACAAUGAUCACUUAUGAGGUCAUAUUUGUCACAGGAAUGGCAAAGACUAAAGUGAUUCCCACCAUUUUUUAGGAUGAGCCACUUUUUUGUUUUCCUAGCAAGUUUAACUUUAUUGAGUUUAACUUCAUGAAGUUAGCAUACUAAUUAAUUUUAAUUACUAAAGUUAACCCAAUGUAAAUACA